ensembl:lncRNA
GUGUGAUGUCAGAUCUGUGUCAUUACAGGCUCUGGUGUGAUGUCAGAUCUGUGUCAUUACAGGCACUAGUGUGAUGUCAGAUGUGUGUCAUUACAGGCUCUGGUGUGAUGUCAGAUGUGUGUCAUUACAGGCUCUAGUGUCAAGUUAGUGAUACACUUUAUCCUUUUUCCAAUGUGCAGUGCUUGGAAAGUUUUUGAUGGAAGGCGAUCAGUAAUGGCAGAUUGAAAUGAGAGAGAACACAUUGGCUUGAGCACAUGGUUUUCAAUCCAUAUGGUGGUAUAAGAUUAAGUUAACGGACGAUGUGUUUCCCUUUCAUGUAUCCUAAUAGAGCAGGGCCCAAUGAAAAAUGCUUAGUGAAUCCCAAAUGUGCCUGCUUUAUGGCCGCUGCUGGGCCGGAAAUCCAGAAGUAAUAUGGACCUGAGAAAAGUGUCGAAUGUGAGCCAGAUCUGGCCCAAACAUAUUUUGCUAUCUUGGAAUAUUUGUGUAUUUUUUCUCCCUCCCCCACAGAAUGUUCAUCCUGAUACUAACAGUAACACGUACUCAUCUCUGAACAUGAAGAUCAGGUCACCUGACUACGACACUCUGGAUUGUGUGAGGGACUCUCACAAUGACAAAGACGGUCAGAAAAACGUGGAUUAUGAGAACUGUGGAGAACCACCACAGAACCUGGACUGAAGAGAACCACCACAGAACUUGAACUGAAGAGAACCACCACAGAACCUGGACUUCCAGAACCAAGUGAUGCAGAUUUGUUAAAUAAUUGCUAUCAGGCGACAAAGGCUCAGGGAACCGACUGAGGGGCUGGUCCACGUAAUCCUCACUAGAACUGGGCCAUUAUGUCACCAAAUACCUACCCAGAGUGAUGCACUAACUCAGGGAUACAAGUUUUUUCAUCUACAAUUCAGAAGCGAUGUGGAGUUUGAGUAAUAUCAAAAUAUUCUUAUUUUAUAUAAUAUACUAAUGUGUUAUAUCUGAUGCAUAGCUCUAGUAGUCUUAUGUUGCAGUGCCACUAGUUUUCCUUCUAAAUUAUAUUAAAGAGGAAGUGAAACAGUUCAGACAGCAGCUACUUGUAAUCUGUCAACUCAUAAUUCAUAUCUACCAACAACACAUUUAAACUUGCUUCCUCAUCACCAGCCAGUCAGACAGCAACUCAGCAUUGUUUCAUGUAAGUACGCUGGAAGACAUUUUACAAUAUUGUGUUUUUUUGUAAUCAACUGUAUUCUUCUGUUGAUAGCUACUUCGUUGACUAAGACAUUUGGUAACACUUUCCAAUAUGUGUAUGGUAAUUACAAGUAAUUAUAUUAACUAACAG